CAGUUGCCAAUCGCCACUCAGGCCAAAAGCGCAGAAGAACAAAAAUGACCGGGAAAAUCUGACAGGACUGAGAAGAUGACAACAGCACAGCGGGGUUUUAGAAGCCCAUCAGAGUGAUUUUCUGAGUUCUUUCACAUAUGCUGUAUGGUCAGCGAAUGGAUGGAUUAUCCAGUCACGGUACAUAAUAAAAGACUUGACUGAGUUAGAAGAAGCUGAGCGACUCUUCAGAGUGAAGAUGUUAUGAUGCAGUUAUGUCAAAGCACUCGUUUCGGAUGGCCAGAUUGGAACAGAACCUGAAUGGGAAGAUGGCAGAGCUAAGACUGGCAAUUUCCAGGAAAAAUGUUUACUAAAAAUGAGUGUGUUUUUCCCCAGCGAGAGAGUUUGGGAAUGUUUUAAAUGUGUCUAGAAGUUUGAAAAUGUAAUACUGAGGGAAAAAAGUGAGCGCUUUGAAAAGGCUUUAAAAAGAAAAAAAAGUCUGAAGUUGAUGUGAAAUGAAGUUAAAGUUUUUACUUGAAAAGUUUGUACUGUACUUGUUUGUACUUGUCAAGUCUGUGCUGAAAAAAAUGCAGUAAAGGUUGUAUUUGAAAAGA